rnacentral:rRNA from 1 species
GACGAACGCUGGCGGCGUGCUUAAUACAUGCAAGUCGAGCGAAAGGACCCUGAUCUUGUGGGUCGCACGUUAGGGGAGGGCGUGAGUGUCACACGAGUAACAUCCCCUUAUAUUUCGGGUAUAAUUACGGGAAACGGGCGAUUACACCGUAUAAUAUUUUGAACCGUGGGGGUCAUAGGAGAAAGUCGGCGUUGCUGUAUGUUCUCGCGGCUUCCGCGCUGCAUGAGCUGGUUGGUAAGGUAACGGCUUACGAAGGCAACGAUGCGUAGCCGAGCUGAGAGGGUGAUAGGCCACACUGGAACUGAGACACGGUCCAGACUCCUACGGGAGGCAGCAGUAGGGAAUCUUCCGCAGUAGUCGAGAGCCUGACGCAGUAACGGCGCGUGAGAGAUGGAAAUCUUCGGAGCGUAAUGCUCGCUUAUGAGUGAAGAACAUCUGUGUAAGUAGCUGAGCACAGCUUGACGGUACCUAAUCAGAAAGCCACGGCUAACUACGUG